GAUGAACGCUGGCGGCGUGCCUAAUACAUGCAAGUAGAGCGCUGAAGGAGGAGCUUGCUCUUCUGGAUGAGUUGCGAACGGGUGAGUAACGCGUAGGUAACCUGCCUGGUAGCGGGGGAUAACUAUUGGAAACGAUAGCUAAUACCGCAUGACAACAGUUAUUGCAUGAUAACUGUUUAAAAGGGGCAACUGCUCCACUACCAGAUGGACCUGCGUUGUAUUAGCUAGUUGGUGAGGUAACGGCUCACCAAGGCGACGAUACAUAGCCGACCUGAGAGGGUGAUCGGCCACACUGGGACUGUGACACGGCCCAGACUCCUACGGGAGGCAGCAGUAGGGAAUCUUCGGCAAUGGACGGAAGUCUGACCGAGCAACGCCGCGUGAGUGAAGAAGGUUGUCGGAUCGUAAAGCUCUGUUGUAAGAGAAGAACGAGUGUGAGAGUGGAAAGUUCACACUGUGACGGUAUCUUACCAGAAAGGGACGGCUAACUACGUG
rnacentral:rRNA from 1 species